GAUGAACGCUGGCGGCGUGCCUAAUACAUGCAAGUCGAGCGAACAGACGAGGAGCUUGCUCCUCUGACGUUAGCGGCGGACGGGUGAGUAACACGUGGAUAACCUACCUAUAAGACUGGGAUAACUUCGGGAAACCGGAGCUAAUACCGGAGAAUAUAUUGAACCGCAGGGUUCAAUAGUGAAAGACGGUUUUGCUGUCACUUAUAGAUGGAUCCGCGCCGCAUUAGCUAGUUGGUAAGGUAACGGCUUACCAAGGCGACGAUGCGUAGCCGACCUGAGAGGGUGAUCGGCCACACUGGAACUGGGACACGGACCAGACUCCUACGGGAGGCAGCAGUAGGGAAUCUUCCGCAAUGGGCGAAAGCCUGACGGAGCAACGCCGCGUGAGUGAUGAAGGUCUUCGGAUCGUAAAACUCUGUUAUGAGGGAAGAACAAAUGUGUAAGUAACUAUGCACGUCUUGACGGUACCUAAUCAGAAAGCCACGGCUAACUACGUG
rnacentral:rRNA from 1 species